CAGGAGCAGACAUGGAAAGUCUUCCUUCGACGAGUGAGAAGACGAAGUUGGUCCUUCAGGGAGCAGACAUGGAAAGUCUUCCUUCGACGAGUGAGAAGACGAAGUUGGUCCUUCAGGGAGCAGACAUGGAAAGUCUUCCUUCGAUGAGUAAGAAGACGAAGUUGGUCCUUCGGG